ACCGAGCAGCGGGACCACCGUCCUCUCCCUUCUCUCCUCCGUGACGCCGCGGCCUGACCAGUGACCCCUAGCCGUUUCGCGCGGAAACCCCAAAAUCGCCGCCCAAAUGCCGCCGCCGGCGCAGCACGAGGAGUUCGACGCCGCCGACGGCGAGGCAUCCAAGUACGCAGAGCACGCGCCCAAGCUCGCCGAGUUCCUCUGCAGUUUCCACUCCGACGACCUCCGCCACAUCCUCCUCCACCCCGAGUCCACGCUCCACUUCCCCCUCGUCAUCGACUUCGCGGAGCUCCUGGACUUCGACCCCGGCUUGGCCAAAAUACUCUACAACGACCCCAAGGGCUUCCUCCCCGACUUCGACAGCGCCGCCCAGCGCGCCCAGAGUGAGGUGUUGUGCAUCCUCAAAAAGUGCGAGGCGCUGGGUAAUCCGGACGAGCCGAGGCCGUCUGCCGUGCAGAAGGGGUUCGUGCACGUGCGCGUCAACGUCUGCGGGUCGCCACUGGAAUUCCCUGAGUCGUCGCCGAGCAUUGGGAAGGUGAGGGUGAAGCAUAGGGGAAUUCUGCUGACCUUGAAGGGGACUGUGAUCAGGUCAGGAGGUGUGAAGAUGAUCGAGGGCAAGCGGUGGUACCAAUGCAGGAAAUGCAACUGCAGGUUCCGCUGCUAUCCUGAGCUAGAGGCUGGGAAUCGUAUAACUCUACCUGCAUCUUGCCCAUCCAUGAGUUCAAAAGGUUGUCAAAGUGCUUCUUUCCAAUUGAUAGGAGAUAGCAUAACCUGUCAUGAUUAUCAAGAAAUAAAAAUCCAAGAAAGCGUGCAACUUCUGGAUGUUGGGUCUAUACCCCGUUCCAUGCCUGUGAUUUUGAUGGAUGACCUUGUUGAUCUUGUUAAAGCUGGAGAUGAUGUCAUUGUUACGGGUAUAUUAUCUGCAAAGUGGUCUUCUGAUGUUAAGGAUGUGCGUUGCAACCUUGAUCCUAUGUUUAUUGCCAAUUAUGUGAGGAGAACUAAUGAGCUGAAGUCUGGUAUAGACAUCCCUGAGGAAAUUAUCAAGGAUUUCGAGCUUUUCUGGGCAGAAAACAGAGCUACUCCACUAGAAGGAAGAAAUAAAAUCUUGAAAGGCAUUUGUCCUCAGAUUUUUGGGUUAUUCACGGUAAAGCUUGCAGUUGCUCUUACGUUGAUUGGUGGAGUGCAGCAUGUUGAUGCUUCUGGAACAAAGGUUCGUGGCGAACCACAUAUGCUUCUUGUUGGUGAUCCAGGUACUGGUAAAUCCCAGUUUUUGAAGUUUGCUGCUAAAUUGAGCAACCGUUCUGUGAUUACAACUGGUCUUGGAAGUACCAGUGCUGGUUUGACUGUGACUGCUGUCAAGGAUGGAGGUGAGUGGAUGCUUGAGGCUGGUGCCCUUGUUCUGGCUGAUGGUGGUUUGUGCUGCAUAGAUGAAUUUGAUAGUAUGCGAGAGCAUGACAGGACAACAAUACAUGAAGCCAUGGAACAACAAACAAUAAGCGUUGCAAAGGCUGGACUGGUGACAACACUCAGUACAAGGACUACUGUCUUUGGUGCCACUAAUCCAAAAGGACAAUAUGAUUCAAAUGAAUCCUUAUCCGUGAAUACAACACUUUCAGGACCAUUGUUGAGUAGAUUUGAUAUAGUUCUUGUUCUCUUGGAUAAAAAGAACCCUAAGUUGGAUGGUAUAAUUUCAUCUCAUAUAUUAGCUCAGAGCACCAAAGCAGAAGAAAACAAGGCCAGUGACCCUGCCGUAAAAAGCACCCAACCUUUGGGUAUAAAAGAGUGGACACUCCCCUGUUUGAGAAGGUAUAUCCACUAUGUAAAACAGCGGUUCAAACCGGUGCUGACAAAGGAAGCAGAAAGUGUUAUCUCAGGCUAUUAUCAGCUUCAGCGGAGAGAUGGAACACAUAAUGCAGCGAGGACAACUGUGCGUAUGCUUGAGAGUUUGAUAAGGCUGGCACAAGCACACGCAAGAUUAAUGUUCAGAAAUGAGGUUACACGGCUUGAUGCUAUUGCUGCCAUAUUAUGCAUUGAGUCCUCCAUGACAAUAUCUGCAAUCAUAGACGGUGAUGGAAACGCUCUGAACUCCAAUUUCCAAGAGAACCCUGAUCAGGAAUAUAUCAAAGAGGAGCAGAAAAUUCGUGACAAGCUUGGGGAUUACCUAUACUAAUAUCUGAUGCAUCAAUACGGAGACCAAUGAGGGUACACGCAUAUCAUCUGCAGUUCUGCAUAGCAAUAUGAUUAGAGGGAGUACCAGCAUGUCCUGCAUACUGGCACAAGGCGUUAACGCCAAAUCUGUCAGUGAGUGGUUGAGUUUUUUUUAGCUUGUACCACGGCAAGCUAAAAGAACAAAGUAAGAAUAGCUGCUUCUUGAGGAACAUGAUACGUAAGCUAAAGCAGUUGACAUGUAGCUUUUCCCUUGAUAAGUGAGAUUCAACGAACUGCUACUAUUUAUGUUUUUGUUUUGGUAAGGCACCUGUUUUAAUCACCCUUUUGCAGUUUUGUCAGAUAUGCCAAAAAUACAUGUAAUGAUGGUUGCUUACCACUCUGAUGAGGAUUACACAUUAUGAAUCUUCUCGCUCAAAUUGCAGCAAACUGGCUCGUUGAAAUCAGGCUAUUUCUUUGAAUCAAUGUCAAUCUCGUUUGUUUGUUCUUACAUAAAUGGAGUGCUAAAGUUUGAAGAUGUAUACUUCAUAUGGUUUUACCCGUUGUCUUGUAAAUCUCUAACAAUUUGGUAGCGCUGACUCUUGUAGUUAUGCAACAAGCAAACCAUAUAUAAUAUAUCAUUAGUGUUAGAAUCCA